rnacentral:rRNA from 1 species
GUUAUAUGGUCAAGCGAAUAAGCGCACACGGUGGAUGCCUUGGCGGUCAGAGGCGAUGAAGGACGUGGCAGCCUGCGAAAAGUAUCGGGGAGCUGGCAACAAGCUUUGAUCCGGUAAUGUCCGAAUGGGGAAACCCACCCGCUUGCGGGUAUCCUGCAGUGAAUACAUAGCUGCUGGAAGCGAACCUGGUGAACUGAAAUAUCUAAGUAACCAGAGGAAAAGAAAUCAACCGAGAUUCCGUAAGUAGCGACGAGCGAACGCGGACUAGCCCUUAAGCUGAUUUGGUUCUAGGAAAACGCUCUGGAAAGAGCGGCCAUAGAAGGUGAUAGCCCUGUAUCUGAAAGGGCCAUUUCAGUGAAGACGAGUAGGGCGGGGCACGUGAAACCCUGUCUGAACAUGGGGGGACCAUCCUCCAAGGCUAAAUACUACUGACCGACCGAUAGUGAACCAGUACCGUGAGGGAAAGGCGAAAAGAACCCCGGAGAGGGGAGUGAAAUAGAACCUGAAACCGUGUGCGUACAAGCAGUAGGAGCUCCGCAAGGAGUGACUGCGUACCUUUUGUAUAAUGGGUCAGCGACUUACUGUUCGUGGCAAGCUUAACCGUAUAGGGGAGGCGAAGGGAAACCGAGUCUGAUAAGGGCGCAUAGUCGCGGGCAGUAGACCCGAAACCGGGUGAUCUAGUCAUGCCCAGGGUGAAGGUGCGGUAACACGCACUGGAGGCCCGAACCCACUCCCGUUGCAAAGGUAGGGGAUGAGGUGUGAUUAGGAGUGAAAAGCUAAUCGAACCCGGAGAUAGCUGGUUCUCCUCGAAAGCUAUUUAGGUAGCGCCUCAUAUGUAUCCUCUCGGGGGUAGAGCACUGUUAUGGCUAGGGGGUCAUCGCGACUUACCAAACCAUUGCAAACUCCGAAUACCGAGACGGACUGUAUGGGAGACACACGGCGGGUGCUAACGUCCGUCGUGAAAAGGGAAACAACCCAGACCCACAGCUAAGGUCCCAAAUUUUGUGCUAAGUGGAAAACCAUGUGGAAAGGCACAGACAGCCAGGAGGUUGGCUUAGAAGCAGCCACCCUUUAAAGAAAGCGUAAUAGCUCACUGGUCGAGUCGGUCUGCGGGGAAGAUUUAACGGGGCUAAGCACAGAACCGAAGCUUGGGGUGCAUACUUUGUAUGCGCGGUAGAGGAGCGUUCCGUAAGCCGUUGAAGGUGGAUUGAGAAGUCUGCUGGAGGUAUCGGAAGUGCGAAUGCUGACAUGAGUAACGAUAAUGCGGGUGAAAAACCCGCACGCCGAAAGCCCAAGGUUUCCUUGCGCAACGUUAAUCGGCGCAGGGUGAGUCGGCCCCUAAGGCGAGGACGAAAGUCGUAGUCGAUGGGAAGCAGGUUAAUAUUCCUGCACCUCGCGUAAGUGCGAUGGAGGGACGGAGAAGGUUAGGUGUACCAGGCGUUGGUUGUCCUGGGGAAAGGCGGUAGGUUUGGAUCUUUGGCAAAUCCGGGAUCCUCUAAGACCGAGCACCGAGACGAGCCUUUAUGGCGAAGUCACUGAUACCACGCUUCCAGGAAAAGCUCCUAAGCUUCAGCUUACGCAGACCGUACCGUAAACCGACACAGGUGGGUAGGAUGAGAAUUCUCAGGCGCUUGAGAGAACUCGGGUGAAGGAACUAGGCAACAUGGCACCGUAACUUCGGGAGAAGGUGCACCCUUUUUGGUGGCUCGUGCGAGCUAUAGCUGAAGAGGGUCGCAGUAACCAGGCCGCUGCGACUGUUUAUCAAAAACACAGCACUCUGCAAACACGAAAGUGGACGUAUAGGGUGUGACGCCUGCCCGGUGCUGGAAGGUUAAUUGAUGGGGUCAGCCGCAAGGCGAAGCUCUUGAUCGAAGCCCCAGUAAACGGCGGCCGUAACUAUAACGGUCCUAAGGUAGCGAAAUUCCUUGUCGGGUAAGUUCCGACCUGCACGAAUGGCGUAACGACAGCGGCGCUGUCUCCACCCGAGACUCAGUGAAAUUGAAAUCGCUGUGAAGAUGCAGCGUUCCCGUGGCAAGACGGAAAGACCCCGUGAACCUUUACUAUAGCUUUACACUGAACGUUGAGUUCGUCUGUGUAGGAUAGGUGGGAGGCUAUGAAACUGUGGCGCUAGCUGCAGCGGAGCCAUCCUUGAAAUACCACCCUGUCGUGCUUGACGUUCUAACCUGGGCCCAUUAUCUGGGUCGGGGACCGUGUAUGGUGGGUAGUUUGACUGGGGCGGUCUCCUCCUAAAGAGUAACGGAGGAGCUCGAAGGUACGCUCAGCGCGGUCGGACAUCGCGCACUGUGUGCAAAGGCAUAAGCGUGCUUGACUGCAAGAUCGACGGAUCAAGCAGGUAGGAAACUAGGACUUAGUGAUCCGGUGGUUCUGUAUGGAAGGGCCAUCGCUCAACGGAUAAAAGGUACUCCGGGGAUAACAGGCUGAUACCGCCCAAGAGUUCAUAUCGACGGCGGUGUUUGGCACCUCGAUGUCGGCUCAUCACAUCCUGGGGCUGUAGUCGGUCCCAAGGGUAUGGCUGUUCGCCAUUUAAAGUGGUACGCGAGCUGGGUUCAGAACGUCGUGAGACAGUUCGGUCCCUAUCUGCCAUGGGCGUUGGAGAUUUGAGAGGGGCUGCUCCUAGUACGAGAGGACCGGAGUGGACGAACCUCUGGUGUUCCGGUUGUCACGCCAGUGGCAUUGCCGGGUAGCUAUGUUCGGAAGCGAUAACCGCUGAAAGCAUCUAAGCGGGAAGCGCGCCUCAAGAUGAGAUCUCCCGGGGCACAAGCCCCCUGAAGGAACCAUGUAGACUACGUGGUUGAUAGGUCAGGUGUGUAAGUACAGCAAUGUAUUGAGCUAACUGAUACUAAUGAUCCGUGCGGCUUGACCAUAUAACCU